rnacentral:rRNA from 1 species
GAUGAACGCUGGCGGCGUGCCUAAUACAUGCAAGUCGAGCGAACGGACGAUAAGCUUGCUUCUCUGAUGUUAGCGGCGGACGGGUGAGUAACACGUGGAUAACCUACCUAUAAGACUGGGAUAACUUCGGGAAACCGGAGCUAAUACCGGAUAAUAUUUUGAACCGCAUGGUUCAAAAGUGAAAGACGGUCUUGCUGUCACUUAUAGAUGGAUCCGCGCUGCAUUAGCUGGUUGGUAAGGUAACGGCUUACCAAGGCAACGAUGCAUAGCCGACCUGAGAGGGGGAUCGGCGACACUGGAACUGAGCCGCCGUCCAGACUCCUACGGGAGGCAGCAGUAGCGAAUCUUCCGCAAUGGGCGGAAGCCUGACGGAGCGACGCCGCGUGAGUGAUGAAGGUCUUCGGAUCGUAAAACUCUGUUAUGAGGGAAGAACAUAUGUGUAAGUAACUGUGCACAUCGUGACGGUACCUGAUCAGAAAGCCACGGCUAACUACGUG